AACAACGAGACCCAAAAGUUCAGCUACAAUUUGCCAGAAGGUACAUAUGAGGUGCAAGCCAAGAUCUGAUGUUUUGGCGAAAAGAAGAU